AUUGAACGCUGGCGGCAUGCCUAACACAUGCAAGUCGAGCGGGCCGGCGGACGGGUGAGUAAUGCCUAGGAAUCUGCCUGGUAGUGGGGGAUAACGUCCGGAAACGGGCGCUAAUACCGCAUACUAUCAGAUGAGCCUAGGUCGGAUUAGCUAGUUGGUGGGGUAAAGGCCUACCAAAGCGACGAUCCGUAACUGGUCUGAGAGGAUGAUCAGACACAAUGGAACUGAGAAACGGUCCAGACUCCUACGGGAGGCAGGAGUGGGGAAGAAGGGACAAUGGGCGAAAGCAUGAUGCAGCCAAGCCGCGUGUGUGAAGAAGGUCUUCGGGGUGUAAAGCACUUUAAGUUGGGAGGCGUUACAAGCAGAAUAAGCACCGGCUGACUUCGUGACAGCAGCAGCGGUAAUAC
rnacentral:rRNA from 1 species